rnacentral:tRNA from 1 species
GGGGGCGUGGCCCUUUGGGAGGGCGCCGGCUUCGCACGCCGGAGGUGCGGGUUCGAUUCCCGCCGCCUCCACCA